AUUUUCCUGGGGUAUGCGUGUAGAAAUGUAUUUCCGGGUUCGUCAAUUAGAUAUUUUUGGAAUUCCGAACUCUAUGUGGAGUUGCUCCCUUAUUAGCUGAUACUUUCAGCUAUCGGGGAACAUGAAGCAUGGAUAGGAAUUCCUUAUAUUUUUUAAGGAAGCCGGAAAUUUUCUUGCGGUACCCCGGGAGUUUU
rnacentral:other from 1 species